rnacentral:rRNA from 1 species
CACUAUCGUUAACUGAAUACAUAGGUUAACGAGGCGAACCGGGGGAACUGAAACAUCUAAGUACCCCGAGGAAAAGAAAUCAACCGAGAUUCCCCCAGUAGCGGCGAGCGAACGGGGAGCAGCCCAGAGUCUGAAUCAGCUUGUGUGUUAGUGGAACGGUCUGGAAAGUCCGACGGUACAGGGUGAUAGUCCCGUACACCAAAAUGCACAGGCUGUGAACUCGAAGAGUAGGGCGGGACACGUGGUAUCCUGUCUGAAUAUGGGGGGACCAUCCUCCAAGGCUAAAUACUCCUGACUGACCGAUAGUGAACCAGUACCGUGAGGGAAAGGCGAAAAGAACCCCGGCGAGGGGAGUGAAAAAGAACCUGAAACCGUGUACGUACAAGCAGUGGGAGCACCUUCGGGUGUGACUGCGUACCUUUUGUAUAAUGGGUCAGCGACUUAUAUUCUGUAGCAAGGUUAACCGUAUAGGGGAGCCGCAGGGAAACCGAGUCUUAACUGGGCGUUAAGUUGCAGGGUAUAGACCCGAAACCCGGUGAUCUAGCCAUGGGCAGGUUGAAGGUUGGGUAACACUAACUGGAGGACCGAACCGACUAAUGUUGAAAAAUUAGCGGAUGACUUGUGGCUGGGGGUGAAAGGCCAAUCAAACCGGGAGAUAGCUGGUUCUCCCCGAAAGCUAUUUAGGUAGCGCCUCGUGAAUUCAUCUUCGGGGGUAGAGCACUGUUUCGGCUAGGGGGUCAUCCCGACUUACCAACCCGAUGCAAACUACGAAUACCGAAGAAUGUUAUCACGGGAGACACACGGCGGGUGCUAACGUCCGUCGUGAAGAGGGAAACAACCCAGACCGCCAGCUAAGGUCCCAAAGUCAUGGUUAAGUGGGAAACGAUGUGGGAAGGCACAGACAGCCAGGAUGUUGGCUUAGAAGCAGCCAUCAUUUAAAGAAAGCGUAAUAGCUCACUGGUCGAGUCGGCCUGCGCGGAAGAUGUAACGGGGCUAAACCAUGCACCGAAGCUGCGGCAGCGACACUAUGUGUUGUUGGGUAGGGGAGCGUUCUGUAAGCCUGCGAAGGUGNUGCUGGAGGUAUCAGAAGUGCGAAUGCUGACAUAAGUAACGAUAAAGCGGGUGAAAAGCCCGCUCGCCGGAAGACCAAGGGUUCCUGUCCAACGUUAAUCGGGGCAGGGUGAGUCGACCCCUAAGGCGAGGCCGAAAGGCGUAGUCGAUGGGAAACAGGUUAAUAUUCCUGUACUUGGUGUUACUGCGAAGGGGGGACGGAGAAGGCUAUGUUAGCCGGGCGACGGUUGUCCCGGUUUAAGCAUGUAGGCUGAUUGUCCAGGCAAAUCCGGAUAAUCAAGGCUGAGGUGUGAUGACGAGGCACUACGGUGCUGAAGUAACAAAUGCCCUGCUUCCAGGAAAAGCCUCUAAGCAUCAGGUAACAUCAAAUCGUACCCCAAACCGACACAGGUGGUCAGGUAGAGAAUACCAAGGCGCUUGAGAGAACUCGGGUGAAGGAACUAGGCAAAAUGGUGCCGUAACUUCGGGAGAAGGCACGCUGGUGUGUAGGUGAAGUCCCUGCGGAUGGAGCUGAGACCAGUCGAAGAUACCAGCUGGCUGCAACUGUUUAUUAAAAACACAGCACUGUGCAAACACGAAAGUGGACGUAUACGGUGUGACGCCUGCCCGGUGCCGGAAGGUUAAUUGAUGGGGUUAUCCGUAAGGAGAAGCUCUUGAUCGAAGCCCCGGUAAACGGCGGCCGUAACUAUAACGGUCCUAAGGUAGCGAAAUUCCUUGUCGGGUAAGUUCCGACCUGCACGAAUGGCGUAAUGAUGGCCAGGCUGUCUCCACCCGAGACUCAGUGAAAUUGAACUCGCUGUGAAGAUGCAGUGUACCCGCGGCAAGACGGAAAGACCCCGUGAACCUUUACUAUAGCUUGACACUGAACAUUGAGCCUUGAUGUGUAGGAUAGGUGGGAGGCUUUGAAGCGUGGACGCCAGUCUGCGUGGAGCCAACCUUGAAAUACCACCCUUUAAUGUUUGAUGUUCUAACGUUGGCCCCUUACCGGGGUUGCGGACAGUGUCUGGUGGGUAGUUUGACUGGGGCGGUCUCCUCCCAAAGCGUAACGGAGGAGCACGAAGGUUAGCUAAUCCUGGUCGGACAUCAGGAGGUUAGUGCAAUGGCAUAAGCUAGCUUGACUGCGAGCGUGACGGCGCGAGCAGGUGCGAAAGCAGGUCAUAGUGAUCCGGUGGUUCUGAAUGGAAGGGCCAUCGCUCAACGGAUAAAAGGUACUCCGGGGAUAACAGGCUGAUACCGCCCAAGAGUUCAUAUCGACGGCGGUGUUUGGCACCUCGAUGUCGGCUCAUCACAUCCUGGGGCUGAAGUAGGUCCCAAGGGUAUGGCUGUUCGCCAUUUAAAGUGGUACGCGAGCUGGGUUUAGAACGUCGUGAGACAGUUCGGUCCCUAUCUGCCGUGGGCGCUGGAGAAUUGAGGGGGGCUGCUCCUAGUACGAGAGGACCGGAGUGGACGCAUCACUGGUGUUCGGGUUGUCAUGCCAAUGGCACUGCCCGGUAGCUAAAUGCGGAAGAGAUAAGUGCUGAAAGCAUCUAAGCACGAAACUUGCCCCGAGAUGAGUUCUCCCUGAGACUUUAAGUCUCCUGAAGGAACGUUGAAGACGACGACGUUGAUAGGCCGGGUGUGUAAGCGCAGCGAUGCGUUGAGCUAACCGGUACUAAUGAACCGUGAGGCUUAACCUU